UUGGAAGAGCUCCGCCGUCGAGCAGCUGCAAAUAAGAGAAGAGGGUAAACACGCUAUACGAACGUUACGUCAACCAGCUUUGCUGCAUUCUUGUGACCAGUGGCUACACGCACUGGAAUUGGCUCGGGACAUCUGGCCCCUCGGAGCCUGGUAUGAAAAAAAUGUUCCUCACGACGGAGGGAAAUUCCUCCAUUGUCAGCGGGAUUUCACAACCUGUACCUUCGUCUCAGGGGUUCUCCGAAGCAUGCUGUCGCUCCUUUUUUCUAUCCAUCAGCUGUCAUUGGGGAUCAUUAGCCCCCCAGCCUCCGUACACAGGAAAGGCAGCUGAUUAUCUGAGCGGACAGAGCCAGAAGAACAGAGGGAGCAUGAGAGAGAAAGAUGACCAGGGUUGUAUUCAGCUGCAGCGGAUGAGUAUCCCCUUCUGGGUUUUUUUCUGGUGUGUCAAGUUCAACAUCACGGAUGGUCUGGUUUCCACUACAUCAAUGAAGAGCCUACGCCAAAGGUAUGGCGUCGAUUUGACGCAGAAGUAUAAAUCCUGCAUUAGACUGUGGCGAUGCCGCACAAAGUUAGCUACAGAGACGAAAAUAAUUUU